AACGAACGCUGGCGGCAUGCCUAACACAUGCAAGUCGAACGAGACCUUCGGGUCUGGUUGCGCACGGGUGCGUAACGCGUGGGAACGUUCACGUAGGUUCGGAAUAACUCCCCGAAGGGGGUGCUAAUACCGGAUAAUUUCUGCGGACAAAAGAUUUAUCGCCUUUGGAUGGGCCGGCGUUGGAUUAGCUAGUUGGGAGGGUAAAAGCCUACGAAGGCUAGGCUCCAUAGCUGGUCAGAGAGGAAGAGCCGCGACGCUGGGAGGGGGAAGCGGCCCGGAAUCUUACGGGAGGCGGGAGUGGGGAAUAUAGGACUAUGGCGUGAGGGAUGAUCCAGCAAGGGCGCGUGAGCGAUGAAGUUGUGAGGGAUGUAAAGCUCUUUUACCCGGGAUGAUAAUGACGGUACCGGGAGAAUAAGCACCGGCUAACUCCGUG
rnacentral:rRNA from 1 species